rnacentral:rRNA from 1 species
CGUUCCUACGGGACGCAGCAGUGAGGAAUAUUGGUCAAUGGACGAGAGUCUGAACCAGCCAAGUAGCGUGAAGGAUGACUGCCCUAUGGGUUGUAAACCUCUUUUGUCGGGGAGCAAAAGCCGGACGUGUCCGGCUGUGAGAGUACCCGAAGAAAAAGCAUCGGCUAACUCCGUGCCAGCAGCCGCGGUGAUACGGAGGAUGCGAGCGUUAUCCGGAUUUAUUGGGUUUAAAGGGUGCGCAGGCGGAUUUUUAAGUCAGCGGUCAAAUCGUGGGGCUCAACCCCAUCCAGCCGUUGAAACUGGGG